GUUCAUCAAAACAGCAGCAGCAGCAGGAGGAGGAGGAGGAGGAGGAAGAGGAAAAGGAGGAGGAAGAAGAGGAAAAGGAAGAGGAGGAGGAGGGAGAAGAAAGCACCAGUAGCUGCUAGGCAGAAAUCACUUCUAUUUACCUGAAGCUCAAUAGGUUAAAACCCAAACACCUCCUUCACGAAAAUCUAACUGCUAUGGCAUGCGGCUCAGCAGCAGAAGGCCUGGCCAGCAUGCAGGCAGUGCUAAGUCCAGUCCUUCAUCUGAGUAACACAAAAGUGCAGAAAUGAGACCAGCAGUGUCUUGGGAGUCUGGUGUGGUGGGCACACAGGUACAUCUUGUAGGGUGCUAGAGACACCCCUGCCUUCAUCAUGAUGGUGAAUUCACAGACAGGCUAUGUCUAUCAAGACGAAGAUGUUCCGAUGGCAGCUGUACUGCUUACCUGUUCCAGAACGUCCAACUUUAACUCGAGUUUGCUGAGAACCACGUCCCCACCCCAUAGUGAAAGCUGGAGAUCUGAAGGUUUUAAGUUCUUGAUAUAGCGAUUCACAUAACUCAUUAAAAUUGGAGUUACGUACGACUCCAGCAUCUUCAAAUUUAAGCGUCGAAGUCAGAUCCUGAAAAGGGUAAAGACGGAAAUUUUGUAAGUAACUGAAUCGACAGGCAGCAACUGGAAAUGCACUUCUCAGGAAGCUUGGCAAGGCCGCUCUCCCGGAUCGCCC
rnacentral:lncRNA from 1 species